rnacentral:misc_RNA from 1 species
AUGAAAUUCUCAACUCGGAUGGUUUUUUGUAUUCCAUCGUGAGCUUGGACUUUGGGGGUCUGCCGGUGUCUGUCGGCUCCUCUCUAAAUGUAUUGGCUGGAUUUGUCUGGUGGCUCGGUGUGAUAAUUAUCUAUGCCUUGCUACCACUUCCAUCUGUCCGGUGACUAGACUCAAUUAUUUCAUUGAUUU